CCUACGGGAGGCAGCAGUAGGGGAAUCUUCCGCAAUGGACGAAAGUCUGACGGAGCAACGCCGCGUGAACGAUGAAGGCCUUCGGGUCGUAAAGUUCUGUUGUUAGGGAAGAACAAGUGCUAGUUGAAUAAGCUGGCACCUUGACGGUACCUAACCAGAAAGCCACGGCUAACUACGUGCCAGCAGCCGCGGUAAUACGUAGGUGGCAAGCGUUGUCCGGAAUUAUUGGGCGUAAAGCGCGCGCAGGCGGUUUCUUAAGUCUGAUGUGAAAGCCCCCGGCUCAACCGGGGAGGGUCAUUGGAAACUGGGAAACUUGAGUGCAGAAGAGGAAAGUGGAAUUCCAAGUGUAGCGGUGAAAUGCGUAGAGAUUUGGAGGAACACCAGUGGCGAAGGCGACUUUCUGGUCUGUAACUGACGCUGAGGCGCGAAAGCGUGGGGANCAAACAGGAUUAGAUACCCUGGUAGUCCACGCUGUAAACGAUGAGUGCUAAGUGUUAGAGGGUUUUCCGCCCUUUUAGUGCUUGAAGUUAACGCAUUAAGCACUCCGCCUGGGGAUACGGUCGCAAGACUGAAACUCAAAGGAAUUGACGG
rnacentral:rRNA from 1 species